UUUCUUGCUAGUGAUGAGUACAGCAGUGUGGAAUAACAGCUCAUACAAAGAGACUCCUGUUGAUGUACAAACUCUCUUAGCAAUGUGGAUUGAUUUUUCUUGGUUGGGACCAAAACUAGCUGCGCAGAGGCUUUCCAGGAGGGAGAUCAUACUAGAGAUAAACAGGUCCUGACGCUGCGGUCCAGGAGAAGGUCCACAAACCCACUCCAAGACCCCUUGGCUUUGCUGGAAUUUUCAUCCCAGACGACUAUUGAGGCUAUUUGCAGGAUUACAGUGAGCAGCAGCGUGAGCUCUGGCUUCAAAUUCUUAACUGGCCAGAAGCUUGAGUCUGUCUGUCCCGAUACUACACCACUCAAAGUGACCCCUCUGCCUCAUCUCUGGAAGAAAAGUGAGGUCUGUUGUGACAGAUUCAUGCAUAUGCUCGCCCUUGCUUCAGGGUAAAGACCCGCAGUGACGCUGACUUGCAAAAUACAAUGAAGACACAGGUUAGCAGGAUACUGUGACAUGUCACGCUGACACCAUGCAGUCCAGGCCUUGCCCUCAACAAUGUUUAAGAAAGACAGGAGGCAGUGCUGUUUUUCCUUGUUACCCAAGCUUGAGACAAUGACAGAGCCAGUAGACAACACCUGCAACCAGGGCAACCAGCAGAAGACCGACCACAAUUCCCACUAUUAGCUUUGCCUGGUCAUUAACUUUUUCGCUAUUGUCAUCUGAAGC